UCCACCCACCUUUGGGAGAUGCCUUUGUCCCCAACAGACUCCUAAAAUGACCAGUUGGGUUUAGACCAAUGCAGGCUACCGCCCCCAGUGAUUAACCAGCACUCCUUACUGAUGUUCUCUUAUUCUUCUAUCACUGAGCUAUCCCAGCUACAGGUCAAUGAGGACAACGAUGCUGAGUCUCCCUUUCCGACAAGAAUAACGGGAGAGAGUGCUUUAUUUGCAAGCACUUGGUGAAAUGAAGCUCAGUGUAACCGGUGUGUGUUGUCUGCGAUGAGCCCCCUUGCUCCCCUCCAGAUCACUACAUGAUGGGUGAGCUGCACAGUGAAAUCAAUCUCAGGAACGAUAAAUAUAUUUUUUAAAAAAGCUUAAAAAAAAAAAAAAAAGAGCAGCAAUUGAGAAGAGAACAAAAGAAGAGACAUGAACAGCAAAUCUGACCGUGGCGAUCCUCGUGCUCUGACGAAUCCAACCACAGAAGCACACGGUUCUUCUUUUUUUAAUGUUAAAGGGAACGCUAGUCAAUUCAUUGUCAUAUAAACUACCUGAGAGACUACGGCCAGACUGGGAUGGUCUUCCAUUGGUGCUGGAGAUCUGGGUGCUGACACCCCAGAGGCAGAGUGGGGGGCCUCUGGGCCGGUGCCUGACCUGCCUUCUUCAGCACAAGCGAUAUCACCAGGGCUCGCACCUGGACCUGGGCCCCGAGUUCUCGGGUUUAUUAUGGAGAACGUUAUUGUCAUCA